rnacentral:misc_RNA from 1 species
GAUGAAGAACGCAGCAAAAUGCGAUAAGUAAUGUGAAUUGCAGAAUUCAGUGAAUCAUCGAAUCUUUGAACGCACAUUGCGCCCGCCAGUAUUCUGGCGGGCAUGCCUGUUCGAGCGUCAUUUCAACCCUCAAGCUCUGCUUGGUGUUGGGACUCGCGGUAACCCGCGUUCCCCAAAUCGAUUGGCGGUCACGUCGAGCUUCCAUAGCGUAGUAAUCAUACACCUCGUUACUGGUAAUCGUCGCGGCCACGCCGUAAAACCCCAACUUCUGAAUGUUGACCUCGGAUCAGGUAGGAAUACCCGCUGAACUUAAGCAUAUCAAUAAGCGGAGGA